rnacentral:rRNA from 1 species
GGCGGCGUGCCUAAUACAUGCAAGUCGAGCGGACAGAUGGGAAGCUUGCUCCCUGAUGUUAGCGGCGGACGGGUGAGUAACACGUGGGUAACCUGCCUGUAAGACUGGGAUAACUCCGGGAAACUCGGGGCUAAUACCGGAUGGUUGUUUGAACCGCAUGCGUUCAGACAUAAAAGGUGGCUUCGGCUACCACUUCACAGAUGGACCCGCGAGCGCAUUAGCUAGUUGGUGAAGUAACGGCUCACCAAGGCAACGAUGACCGUAGCCGACCUGAGAGGGUGAUCGGCCACACUGGGACUGAGACACGGCCCAGACUCCUACGGGAGGCAGCAGUAGGGAAUCUUCCGCAAUGGACGAAAGUCUGACGGAGCAACGCCGCGUGAGUGAUGAAGGUUUUCGGAUCGUAAAGCUCUGUUGUUAGGGAAGAACAAGUGCCGUUCAAAUAGGGCGGCACCUUGACGGUACCUAACCAGAAAGCCACGGCUAACUACGUGCCAGCAGCCGCGGUAAUACGUAGGUGGCAAGCGUUGUCCGGAAUUAUUGGGCGUAAAGGGCUCGCAGGCGGUUUCUUAAGUCUGAUGUGAAAGCCCCCGGCUCAACCGGGGAGGGUCAUUGGAAACUGGGGAACUUGAGUGCAGAAGAGGAGAGUGGAAUUCCACGUGUAGCGGUGAAAUGCGUAGAGAUGUGGAGGAACACCAGUGGCGAAGGCGACUCUCUGGUCUGUAACUGACGCUGAGGAGCGAAAGCGUGGGGAGCGAACAGGAUUAGAUACCCUGGUAGU